UGAUAGUAUCAGAAGAGGAAGGGACGGGCUAACUCUGUGCCAGCAGCCGCGGUAAUACAGAGGUCUCAAGCGUUGUUCGGAUUCAUUGGGCGUAAAGGGUGUGUAGGUGGCGCCGUAAGUCGGGUGUGAAAUCUCGGGGCUUAACUCCGAAACUGCAUUCGAUACUGCGGUGCUUGAGGACUGGAGAGGAGACUGGAAUUCAUGGUGUAGCAGUGAAAUGCCGUAGAGAUCGUGAGGGAGACCAGUGGCGAAGGCGGGUCUCCGGACAGUUCCUGACACUGANACACGAAGGCCAGGGGGGCAAACGGGAUUAGAUACCCCGGUAGUCCUGGCAGUAAACGGUGCACGUUUGGUGUGGGGGGAUUCGACCCCUUCUGCGCCGGAGCUAACGCGUUAAACGUGCCGCCUGGGGAGUACGGUCGCAAGAUUAAAACUCAAAGAAAUUGACGGGGGCCCGCACAAGCGGUGGAGUAUGUGGCUUAAUUCGAUGCAACGCGAAGAACCUUACCUGGCCUUGACAUGCAUCUCUAAACCGGUGAAAGCCGGCGAGUCUCGAAAGAGACAAUUUGCACAGGUGCUGCAUGGCUGUCGUCAGCUCGUGUCGU
rnacentral:rRNA from 1 species